rnacentral:lncRNA from 1 species
AAAGGUGAAUGUUUUUCUUUUCAUCUCCAUGUUCCUGAUUAUUAAUUUUCUUCCUAUUUUCUUUAUGGUCUAUUUUUUUUCUUCUUUUUUCCUCCUUGUAAAGUUGAAUAAUAAUGGAGUUUCUGACUCCUAACUUUGUAGUACAAAUUGGUGAAUAAUCAGAGAUUUUUCAAUGUUACCUUUGGAGAACCAAGGAACUACCUUCAAAAAUCUUCCGCUACAGGUUUUGGUAAAUCUGGCAAAUUCUUCUUCACUUUUUUAAAAAUAUUAACUUGUCUAUGAUUAAUCCUGUAUGUGAUGCUCUAGCUUUUGUAAAUUUUUCAAAACUUGGGUAUUUUUUUGGAAAAUACAUUUAUUUUUACUAAAUCUUAACUAAACAUAAUUUAUUUUGCCGACCAAAAGAUGAUGGCAGUACACCUAAAAUGUCCACUAUUUGGCUUCACUGUUUCUGAGAAGUGGAUUGAAACUGCCUUAAAUCUCUGAGAUUUAAAAUCUCUGAAGAAGCUCUGAGACACACCUCCCUGAUGCAGAAACCCGAAGAAUAAAUUCAUGGAUGCCGAAUUUUCAUUACUUUUACCCUCUAUCCUGGAUUGGUCCUUUGGCACCCAUGGAAGCAUCACACUUAGAAUUAAGUGUCACGAUGCUGAGCAGUGCUCAGGAUGAAAACUGUGUAUUAGAACAAUUACGCCUCAGGGUGAAUGUGUAAGUAUAAUGAUACUGAAACUUGGCUUCUUUUCAAAAUAUACAAGUCUCUGACAGUUUGGUAUUGAAAAGCAAGUGAUUCACAUACAUAAAAAAUAGAAGCAGACCAAAAAUGUCAAGGUUUGACAGAGGGCAAAUCCAAAAUACUUCCAAUAAGAGGAAAAAGAGUUCAUUUUAAAAGCGUAAUUGCUGAGUGUCUUCUCA